UGGUUGCUAUUGUUACUCUGUUUACUGACAGCUUUCAAGCGGUUGUGUGAUUCUUGACAUUUUAGUGUCUCUACGAUGAGCAACGACGGAGGAGACGGUGAAUCUUCAUGGGAUCAACGCGAAGAAUUUCCUACAGAAAACAGAGAACAUGAAACGAGAAGCCGAUGGUGGGAACAAAGUCGGCUUAAAGAUUUCUGUGAGGAUUUGAUUGUGUUCUUGUGUGUUGCUGGUGGUGUCGCAGGUGUUAUUGUGGGUGUGUGUGUCGGUUUAGUUUGGUUCGCAAGUUCGUACCCGUUUACGUUUUGGCUGUGUGUUUUCUUUUGUAUGUUGGCCUUCGUGAGUCAAUCUGGUUAUACUAGAUUCGAUUUCACAGACUGAACCGACUUUUUAAAGACUCGAUAGAAUGACCACGAAACGGAGUUUACGCACGACUAAUGCAAAAGAAGAUGUUACAGAUUUUACCACACAGCACAAUUUCUCAGGACAACAGACCAGGGCUGCCAAUUGAUGGGAAUAUAAAUAUACGGUGAAUGUUUAAUGACGUUAGUCGAUGUCAUAAGGGUGGUGAGAAAGAAUGCUGUUGACUAAGGCAGAAAAGUCGCGGAUCGCAUUGGAAGAGAGAAAUUCCACAAUUGGAGGAGUUUCACUUGAAUACCGAAUGAAGUGGGAACCUCUGCCGACAAACAUUCGAUCGAAAGGAUUCCGCUGACGAAGAACUUUGUAGCUCCCGGAGAAGAAGUAAUUGAAGACAAUGUCCAUCUCGUAAAAACAAAAGUAAAUCUGUCCCACAAUACGCCAAAUAGGCGCUUG